AUUGGUCUUAUGUUAAGUUCUUAAAAUGACAGAACUUUCUGACAGACUUUAGGUCAUUAUUAUGUCCUCCCCCCACAGGAAUAACUGAUGACGAUUGUAGCCGGAAGUUUAAGGUCCAUGUCAUUUAAUCGUUAAGCUCGUCGAACAACGCUUCAUAAGCCAAUGUGUCCUGCAUCAUUUCCUUAUUUUCUAGAAAACUGACGAGUUUAAUUACAUUCAGCGUCAAUAUAGAAAUAUCGAGCAUAAGAAAAGCGUCCUGAUGUUAAAAUAACGUUACGUUUUCAAACUUUAGACUGCACAGUUGCAGAAGAAGCUACGCGACGGUAUGUAAACAACUGUUUCACACUCUCGCCAAUUGAUGCUCGAAGCAGGGUCUUGCUUAGGAAUUCAUCGUAGCCUGCCAUGAAGUGUGUUAUGAUCGUGACUCUUUUAUCUUUCCUGUGGGCAAGUACAGGUAGGCAAAUUUUACGUUU